AUGGAUGAUGAUUAUGAAAUCAAAAACUUCAUCAAGGUGUGGAUCAUAGCCAUUGCAUCUCAAUGUUAUUGUUAUUAUGUAGCAGCAAGAAUCCCAACAAAGAGCAUGAUGAGGCUCAUCUCUCUCCUCCCCAUCUUCUACCUCCUAGUAAUGCUCCCCUUGAACCUCCACUCCAUCCAUCUCGGUGCCCCCUCCAGCCUUCUUUCUUGGUUCUCUUGCCAUCUUUAAGCUCCUCCUCUUCUCCUUUGACUCCGGUCCGUUGUCACCACCCCCGGCAAGACUUUUCCACUUCAUUUCCAUAGCUCUUCUCCCCAUCAACAUUAAGCAACUCCCCAAAAAGCCUUGCAAUGGUUACACUAUUACAAAGGUGGUGCGAAACAAAUAUGUUUUGUGGGCAAUGAAGGCCUUGCUUUUGGGUGUAGUAGUUCAUGUUCGCAAGGAUUAUAGACAUGAUCUACAUCCCUAUGUACUCACAGCCUUGUCCCUUUCCCACCUCUACCUUGGUCUAGAAAUAGGCUUUGCUCUCAGUGUAGCCUUGCCUCAAGCCAUGCUCGGGUUCGAACUCGAGCCACACUUCAACGAGCCUUACUUCUCCACAUCUUUUCAGGACUUUUGGGGUCGUAGAUGGAAUCUCGUCGUCUCAAACACACUGCGUCCCCUCGUAUACCAUCCCGUAAGGCGUAUAUCUACAGGCAAGGGUGGAACCACUUCGAGGCCAACCGUUGCGGCAAAACCUGCGGGGGCUCCAGUUCUGCCGGUCAUCUCUGCUUUCACUGUCUCUGGUUUAAUGCACGAGCUCUUCUUUUACUAUGUCACUCGUGUGCAUCCCACAGGGGAAAUGACGUGCUUCUUUGUCCUGCAAGGUGUGUGCUUGGCAUUUGAACUGCAGGUGAAGAAGGCGCUGGCUCGUAAUGUACGGCUUCAUCCGCUAGUUUCAGGGCUGCUGACAUUGGUGUUUUUGGUUGUCACUACCGAUUGGCUUUUCUUCCCUCAUAUAAUAAGAACCGGUGCGGAUACAAAGAGUUUAGAAGAGUGUGCAAGUAUGGUGGAUUUUGUGAAGGCUAGCUAUCGUUUCCUAUUGUAUUAA